rnacentral:rRNA from 1 species
GACGAACGCUGGCGGCGUGCCUAAUACAUGCAAGUCGAGCGCAGGAAAUCGACGGAACCCUUCGGGGGGAAGUCGACGGAAUGAGCGGCGGUCGGGUGAGUAACACGUAAAGAACCUGCCCUCAGGUCUGGGAUAACCACGAGAAAUCGGGGCUAAUACCGGAUGGGUCAUCGGACCGCAUGGUCCGAGGAUGAAAGGCGCUUCGGCGUCGCUUGGGGAUGGCUUUGCGGUGGAUUAGCUAGUUGGUGGGGUAAUGGCCCACCAAGGCGACGAGGCAGAGCCGGCCGUAGAGGGUGAUCGGCCACACUGGGACUGAGACACGGCCCAGACUCCUACGGGAGGCAGCAGUAGGGAAUCUUCGACAAUGGACGAAAGUCUGAUGGAGCAACGCCGCGUGAACGAUGAAGGCCUUCGGGUCGUAAAGUUCUGUUGUAAGGGAAGAACAAGUGCCGCAGGCAAUGGCGGCACCUUGACGGUACCUUGCGAGAAAGCCACGGCUAACUACGUGCCAGCCGCCGCCGUAA